GGGUGAGAGGCCAGAAAGCGUCGAUGUUCCGUCCAAAUUCCCCCUCCAAAAGCUGGAUGGCAGCGAAAAACCCUUCCGAAGGCCUCAUUAGGUUUGCCGUUGCCGUGUAUUUUUUUGCCUCCAGGAAGGGGUGGUCCUCACUUGUGGCGUAGCUGUGGUCCUGAUGUCUGGCACCCAACAACAGCACCUCACAGUGUGGACAGGCCUGAACAAUUUCCUCCUUUUGAAGGACCCGGACAAGCCAGCCAGCAACGUAGAACAGGCCCUCCUCCUGGAUGCAAUCGCCAACAGUCUACAAGGUGGUAGGGAGGGCCAUUGAGGUCAUUGGAGCUGUUGAGGUGGAGGGGAUUGCGUCCUCUGACAUACUGGCUUGGAGGGUUGUCCCGUCAUCCAGCUCGCAGUUUGAUGCAGUCGAUGCAGAAAGAGCAGGAGAAAGAAAUGGCUGACUGACCUGAACUGCCAGCUUGCCACCCAGCUGAUGCAUUCCCUCAGGAAGUUCUCCUUCUCCUGGUUUCCGGAGCCUAGGGGUCGUCGCCAGGGAAGGUGAGGGACAUCAAAAAUCACAGGAACCCUCUGAACCCCCACCAGGAUACAGUGGGACUCCUCACCUCCCAGAGGGUCCAGGCUAGCCCCAAGGUUCCGCACAGCCUUCACAUUAGGGCUUCCCUGGUCACAUAUUACUGCCUGCACCUUUGAAAUUGGUUAAUACAUUGUUGUCAAUACAAGGUUGGAGUUAAUGUUCAUUUGUUCAUUGUUAAUGCUGCUAUUUAAAAAAUAAAUAAUAAUACAACUCUUCGCACUACAUACUGUCAG
ensembl:lncRNA